GACGAACGCUGGCGGCGUGCCUAAUACAUGCAAGUAGAACGCUGAAGAGAGGAGCUUGCUCUUCUUGGAUGAGUUGCGAACGGGUGAGUAACGCGUAGGUAACCUGCCUUGUAGCGGGGGAUAACUAUUGGAAACGAUAGCUAAUACCGCAUAACAAUGGAUGACACAUGUCAUUUAUUUGAAAGGGGCAAUUGCUCCACUACAAGAUGGACCUGCGUUGUAUUAGCUAGUAGGUGAGGUAAUGGCUCACCUAGGCGACGAUACAUAGCCGACCUGAGAGGGUGAUCGGCCACACUGGGACUGGGACACGGCCCAGACUCCUUCGGGAGGCAGCAGUAGGGAAUCUUCGGCAAUGGGGGCAACCCUGACCGAGCAACGCCGCGUGAGUGAAGAAGGUUUUCGGAUCGUAAAGCUCUGUUGUAAGUCAAGAACGGGUGUGAGAGUGGAAAGUUCACACUGUGACGGUAGCUUACCAGAAAGGGACGGCUAACUACGUG
rnacentral:rRNA from 1 species